CCUACGGGGGGCUGCAGUGAGGAAUAUUGGUCAAUGGCCGCAAGGCUGAACCAGCCAAGUCGCGUGAAGGAAGAAGGACCUAUGGUUUGUAAACUUCUUUUAUAGGGGAAUAAAGGGAGGCACGUGUGGAUAUUUGCAUGUACCCUAUGAAUAAGCAUCGGCUAACUCCGUGCCAGCAGCCGCGGUAAUACGGAGGAUGCGAGCGUUAUCCGGAUUUAGUGGGUUUAAAGGGUGCGUAGGUUGUUUUUUAAGUCAGCGGUGAAAGUUUGUGGCUCAACCAUAAAAUUGCCGUUGAAACUGGCAGCCUUGCGUGUGUUUGAGGUAGGCGGACUGCGUGUUGUAGCGG
rnacentral:rRNA from 1 species